CGCCCCACGCUAGCCCACAGCACGCUGAUUGGUCAGAUCGACUGUCAAUCGGAAAAGCCAGAAGGCGGGGCUUUAGAGCCGUGAGAAGGCGGAAGUUCGCCUUCGCCUGGAAGGAAGUGCUUCUGGGGAGCCGGGGGCACAGAGUAGAGGAGGGGUUUGCCAGGGUCGCAGAGGCUCUCUACGUACAAAACGGGCGAAAGGUUGACGGGAAGAGGCCGCGUGCUAACCUGGCUAGGCCCUGGCAACUGGGGAACACAGAUCAGCAAGACCCAGGCACUACUCACAGGAAGUUCAACCAAGUGGAUACAGUUCAAAUCACAGCAUCACAACACACCUUGAUAAACCCUGUGCAGAUUUAGAGAGGAGUGAGGAACCAGGUGAAAUCAAAAGGUGUCCAAGCAUGGGUUAUGAUUGGCAGGUGUGAAGAACUUAUAGAAAUUCACCAGGAAGCAGAGGUAGGGAACAACAAGAGAAAUGAACUAAGUAAGAAAGAAAGAACAAAAUGGAUUAUUUUCUGUAAUUACAACUAUGGAAAAAUCACA